rnacentral:lncRNA from 1 species
UUGGAUAAUAGACUUUGGUUCUAGUGUACACUUGUGCACUUCAAUGUAGGAUCUUAAAGAAUAUAGAAGGUUGGGGCUAGGAGAGAUGACUCUACGGUAAUGGAGCAAGAGUUACUAUUGUGGCCAUGGAGACCUAUUCUUUUCGACUACCAUUUGAUUUUUAUCUAAAACUAAGGGAUUGUUACUGUGUGCCUAAUAC